AUACCUGCAGGCUUCCUGGCAUCGCAAACAUGCAACAGCCCAUGCAGCAGGAAGCACCACUGCCUGCAUGGUGCAGAGGGAAUCUGAGGCAUGAGGAAGCUGAAAAUGCUGAGGAGAAAGCCAUUUCUUGAAGUAAGGAACAGGAUACUCAACAGUCCCCAAGCACCAGUGGACAAGUGAGGCUUAUAUUUGAUGCAGAAUGUCUCCAAGCACACCACAAUAGCAACAGAAGAGCCAACAGUUAUAUGUGUAUUACAAACACAUGGCACUUGCCUGGCCUUCUCCAGCUGGAGACUCAUCCUGGGGUCUAUGGGGGAGAAAAAGAAAGAUAUCUGAAAUCUUAAAUAGGCAAAGCAAGAUUUAUGAGUGAACAGAUUCACUUCCAAGAUGAAACAGAAAAACAUCUGCAAGAUGAGAAUUUACUUGCGUUAUUAGUGCUAUUCUUUCUGCACUGAUGAGUAGUAGAGAUAAUCCCAUCCAUUACAGACGUCCGUAACUUUGCUAGCAGACAUUCUAACUCCUUGGAGAUGCCAGCACAGAUCCUGCACCACUGCAACAACUCAAAAUAAAAAACAAUAGAAUAAAAAUAGACAAUGAUGUACUUCAGGACAGCA